UUUCUGUCGGGACAGAGUCAGGUCCACCGCAGGACCCUGAGCCUUUGUCUUAAACAUCUCCUCAAACUCCUCCACGUUCAGAUCCUGGGAGACAGACAGGAUAGCCUCGUCGUCGAUGUCGUUAAAGACGGUCCCGUUGAUCUGACUCGGCUUCAGAGCGACCCAGUUCAACACCGGCAUCCGGAACUUCGUCUGGAUUGGCUUCUUUAUCUUCACCGCUGCACAGAGAGACAGACAGAGUUGAUCAGGUGAUCUAUAUCAGCGCUGUGAUUGGUGGAGCUGACGCUCACCUGUGCCUGGCAUCGG